UUUACAGUAUACAGUAGAGCAGGGGUCCCCAAACUAAGGCCCGGGGGCCGGAUGCGGCCCAUCGAAGCUAUUUAUCCGGCCCCCACGGCACAAGGGCAGAAGGGGGUUGGACUAAAUGACCCAAGGGGCCUCUUCUUCUCUUACAACCCUUAUUAUUAUUAUUAUUAUUAUUAUUGACACAACGACGUUGUAUGACACAGCAAACAAGAUAGACAUGCUGGGUUUCAUUUCGCAAAAUCACAAGUCGAACUCUUCCCAAGUGUCUAGGACUGUGUGAUGUAUUUUCGGAUGAUGCGUGCAGAUCCCAGCAGGGUGGCCUUUUGCAGUUGGCAGAUCGUAAUUUUGUCAAUGUCUAUUGUUUCCAAAUGCCGGCUGAGAUCUUUUGGCACGGCACCCAGUGUGCCCAUCACCACCGGGACCACCUGCACUGGUUUCUGCCAGAGUCUUUGAAGUUCAAUCUUGAGGUCCUGAUAGCGGCUGAGUUUUUCCUGUUAAUAUUAUUAUUAUUAUUAUUAACAUUGAGGCUGGGUGGCCAUCUGUCAGGGGUGCUUUGCUUGUGCUUUUAGUGCACAAAGGCAGAAGGGGAUAGGACUCAAUGGCCCAAGGGGUCUCUCCCAACCCUCUUUUAUUAUUAUUAUUAUUAUUGUUGUGGUUUUUAUUAUUCAUUAUUAUUAUUAUUAUUAUUUUAUUGUAUGAAACAGCAAACAAGAUAGAUAUGUUGGAUUUCAUAUAACAAAAUCACAAGUCGAACACUUCCCAAGUGUCUAGGACCAUGUGAUGUAUUAUUAUUAUUAUUAUUAUUAUUAUUAUUAUUAUUAUUAUUAUAUUGCUUGGUGGCCAACUAUAGUCCAGCCCUCCAACGGUCCGAAGGAUCGUGAACUGGCCCCCUGUUUAAAAGGUUUGGGGACCCCUGCAGUAGAGUCUCACUUAUCCAACAUAAACGGGCUGGCAGAACGUUGGAUAAGCGAAUAUGUUGGAUAACAAGGAGAGAUUAAGAAAAAGCCUAUUAAACAUCAAAAUAGGUUAUGAUUUUACAAAUUAAGCACCAAAACAUCAUGUUAUACAACAAAUUUGACAGAAAAUGUAGUUCAAUAUGCAGUAAUACUAUGUAGUAAUUACUGUAUUUAAAAAUUUAGCACAAAAAUAUCAUGAUAUAUUGAAAACAUUGACUACAAAAAUGCGUUGGAUAAUCCAGAAUGUUGGAUAAGCGAGUGUUGGAUAAGUGAGACUCUGCUGUAUAUCUUUGGAAGGUCCAGGGUGGAAGAAAGAACUCUUGUCUGUUGGAGGCAAGUGCGAAUGUUCCACUUGGCCACCUCGAUUAGCAUUGAAUACCCUUUCAGCUUCAAGGUCUGACUGCUUGCUGCCUGGGGGAAUCCUUUGCUGGAAGGUAAUAUUUGGAAGGUGAUACAGUAGAGUCUCACUUAUCCAACAUAAACGGGCCGGCAGGACGUUGGAUAAGCGAAUAUGUUGGAUAACAAGGAGAGAUUAAGAAAAAGCCUAUUAAACAUCAAAAUAGGUUAUGAUUUUACAAAUUAAGCACCAAAACAUCAUGUUAUACAACAAAUUUGACAGAAAAAGUAGUUCAUUACACAUUAAUGCUAUGUAGUAAUUACUGUAUUUAUGAAUUUAGCACCAAAAUAUCACAAUGCAUUGAAAACAUUGACUACAAAAAUGUGUUGGAUAAUCCAGAAUGUUGGAUAAGUGAGACUCUAAAAAGGUAAAGGUUUCCCCUGACGUUAAGUCCAGUCAUGUGUGACUCUGGGGGUUAGUGCUCAUCUCCAUUUCUAAGCCGAAGAGCCGGCGUUGUCCGUAGACACCUCCAAGGUCAUGUGGCUGGCAUGACUGCAUGGAGCGCUGUUACCUUCCCGCCGGAGCGGUACUUAUUGAUCUACUCACAUUGGCAUGUUUUCGAACUGCUAGGUUGGCAGGAGCUGGAGCUAACAGCGGCUGCUCACACCGCUCCCGGGGUUUGAACCUGGGAUCUUUCGGUCUCUAGCUCAGUGCUUUAACGCACUUCGCCACCGGGGCUCCUUUUAAGUCAGACUCUAUUAAUAUUUUUCCCCCAGGCAGGAAGCAGCCAAGAUUUGAAGCUGCAAGGCUAUUCAAUGCUCAUCAAGGUGGCCAAUUGGAACAUUCACACUUGCCUCCAACAGAGAGGAGUUCUUUUUCCCACCCUGGAUCUUCCACAGAUACAUAAACCCUGUUUGCCUAGUUUACAACAGAACUUACAGCCUCUGAGGAUGCCUGCCAUAGAUGUGGGUGAAACCUCAGGAGAGAAUGCUUCUACAACAUGACCAUACAGCCUGGAAAACUCACAAUGAUUCCGGCCAUGAAAGCCUUCAAGAGCACAUCUUCAGCUUCCUCUGCCCAGCCUCUUUUACACUGCCAUAUAAAAUCUAGAUUAUCUGCUUUGAACUGGCUUGAAUGAGUCUACACUGCCAUAUAAUCCAGUUCAAAGCAGAUUAUCUGGAUUUUAUAUGGCAGUGUAGGAGUGGCCUGCUUUUGUUUCAGAUGUUUUGUGGGGGAAAGGAAAUGUCAGACAUGAAGGCCUGUCUGGAGGAGGCCACAAAUAGCUUUACGAAAGAAUUUAACCCAUUUGGGUGAGUCAGACUUUCUCAGCCUCAGAGGAAGGCAAAGGCAAACUCCCUCUGAGCACGCCAAGGAAAAGCCAAAAGUCAGAAAUUGUUUAAAGGCACACAACUCUUCAGCUUUGAAAGUGAGAGACCCAGUUCAUCCUCUGCCAUCUCACUUUAUUUGCUGCUUUUUAAACAUCCCAGUUUCUCACUCGCCUCCUCUCUUUCCUCCUUCCUCAUUUGUAAAAUACCAGAGAUUGCUCUGGGAGAUGGUGAUCGGGCAUUCAGACAAUGUGGCCAGUCCAGCGAAGUUGAUGGUGUAGGAGCAUCACUUCAAUGCUAGUGGUCUUUGCUUCUUCCAGCACACUGACAUUUGUCUGCUUGUCUUCCCAAGAGACUCUAGCUGGAAGUCAGCUGUGACCAGCAGUGCUGUGGAAUUUGAAGAGGCACGAAUGGAGGGCGAAAGGGAGAAAUGUGCCAAGAGGAAGGCGGGUCAAGCCAACCCUGACCGGGACCGCCUUCCACCUGGAAACCAAUGUCCUCAUUGUGGAAGAACAUGCGGGUCAAGAAGAGGGCUCCACAGUCACCUACGUAUCCACCACCAAGACACUGCACUUGGAAGGCUAUCAUACUCAGACAACGAGGGAUCACCUAAAAUAAAAUUAAAAAUAAAGAAAGUGGGUCAUGGCACCCAGUACUACCCAAGGGCUAAAUGGGCUUGAACUUACCCUAGGUUAUCUAUACUGCAGAAUUAAUGCGGUUUAACUGCCCAGGUUCAAUUCCAGGUUAUGGAAUUAUGGGAAUUUCGCAAUAUUUUUAGCCUUCUCUGCCAAAGAGUGAUGGUUCCCCCACCAAACUACAACUCCCAUGAUUCCAUAGCAUCGAGCCUUGGCAAUUCAAGUGGCAUCACUUUAAUUCUUCAGUGUAGAUACACCCUUAGUUGGAAAGUGGAAUCACAACAUCUCUCAAAAGAAGAGUGGGAAAAUCCUCAUUCCAGAGUUAUAUGCUUUACUUUGGACUAUGAUAUUUCUUCUGUGGAAUGACCUGCCAGAAGAGAUUUGACAGUUAAACAAGCUGUCAAAAUUUAAAACAGCCUACCCAGUCAACUCUGAAUCAUGAGUUUUGAAUUUUCAUUCUAUUACCUCUAUAUGUUGAGUUUGCCCCGUGUUUGUAAAAUGAUGUGUUUUUAUCUAUGUAUUUUAUGUUCAUAUGUUUUGGCUUCAUUGUACCCCGCCUUGGCUAUUAGACGAGGCAGGUAACAAUAGAAUGUAUUAUUAUUAUUAUUAUUAUUAUUGACACAAAGACAUAGUAGGACACAGCAAACAAGAUAUAUGCUGGAUUUUGUGUCACAAAAUCACAAGUAAACAUUUCCCAAGGACUGUGUGAUGUAUUUUCGGAUGAUGCGUGCAGAUCCCAGUAAGGUGGCCUUUUGCAGUUGACAGAUCGUAAUUUUGUCAAUGUUUAUUGUUUCCAAAUGCUGGCUGAGAUCUUUUGGCACAGCACCCAGUGUGCUGAUUUACCACCAGGACCACCUGUACUGGUUUAUGCCAGAGCCAUUGCAGUUCGAUUUUGAGGUCCUGAUAACGGCUGAGUUUUUCAUGUUGUUUUUCAUAAAUUCAACUGUCACCUGAUAUGGCGACAUCAAUAAUCCAAACUUCCCCCCCCCCCAAACAUGAGGUUUUGUGUGUUGUGUUCCAAAACUUUGUCAGUUUGGAUUCGAAAGUCCCAUCGUAUCUUUGCGUGCUCAUUUUCCAUUACCCUGAUGGCGUAGUGACUUGAAGGUUGGGUUGCUGACCUGAAAGCUGCCAGGUUCGAAUCCCACCCAGAGAGAGUGUGGAUGAGCUCCCUCUAUUGUCUCCAGCUCCAUGCGGGGACAUGAGAGAAGCCUCCCACAAGGAUGGUAAAAACAUCAAAACAUCCCGGCAUCCCCUGGGCAACGUCCUUGCAGACGGCCAAUUCUCUCACUCCAGAAGCAACUCAAGUUGCUCCUGACACACACAAAAAAAACCAGUAAAACUCUCUUGCUCAUUGUGCUAUACUAUAGUAAUGUAUUCACUGCAGCAAUUAAAGCAUAACUAACAGACGUAUUGUCAAAUACAUAACAUUUAUUGUUAUUGAAAACAGUAAUAAGUGCAACAAUUGUUCUGAGAACCCAAAAGCUGUAUAUUCAUUUCCACUUUAAUAAAUAAAUAAAUAAAGAGAAACA